AGAGUUUGAUCAUGGCUCAGGAUGAACGCUGGCGGCGUGCCUAACACAUGCAAGUCGAACGGGGUUAUUUAGGAAAUUUCCUUCGGGGAAUGGAAUCUUUAACCUAGUGGCGGACGGGUGAGUAACGCGUGAGCAAUCUGCCUUCGGAUGGGGGAUAACAGCCGGAAACGGCUGCUAAUACCGCAUAACACAUGGGAUCCGCAUGUUUCCCAUGUCAAAGAUUUAUCGUCCGGAGAUGAGCUCGCGUCUGAUUAGCUGGUUGGCGGGGUAACGGCCCACCAAGGCGACGAUCAGUAGCCGGACUGAGAGGUUGAACGGCCACAUUGGGACUGAGACACGGCCCAGACUCCUACGGGAGGCAGCAGUGGGGAAUAUUGCGCAAUGGGGGCAACCCUGACGCAGCAACGCCGCGUGAUUGAAGAAGGCCUUCGGGUUGUAAAGAUCUUUAAUCGGGGACGAAUUUUGACGGUACCUGAAGAAUAAGCUCCGGCUAACUACGUGCCAGCAGCCGCGGUAAUACGUANGGAGCAAGCGUUAUCCGGAUUUACUGGGUGUAAAGGGCGUGU
rnacentral:rRNA from 1 species